UGGGGAAUAUUGCACAAUGGAGGGAACUCUGAUGCAGCGACGCCGCGUGAGUGAUGAAGGAAUUCGUUUCGUAAAACUCUGUUCUAUGGGAAGAAAAGGACUGUACCAUAGAAGAAAGCUCCGGCUAAAUACGUGCCAGCAGCCGCGGUAAUACGUAUGGAGCGAGCGUUGUCCGGAAUUAUUGGGCGUAAAGGGUGCGCAGGCGGCUUUACAAGUUGGAUGUGAAAUAUUGUGGCUCAACCACAAACGUGCAUCCAAAACUGCAAAGCUUGAGUUAAGGAGAGGUAAGUGGAAUUCCUGGUGUAGCGGUGGAAUGCGUAGAUAUCAGGAGGAAUACCGGUGGCGAAGGCGACUUACUGGACUUAAACUGACGCUCAGGCACGAAAGCGUGGGGAGCAAACAGG
rnacentral:rRNA from 1 species